rnacentral:snRNA from 1 species
AGCUGCGCGGUGAGCACAAAGCGAACUAUUCUUUCGCCUUUUACUAAAGAAUACCGUGUGCGCGCCGCAAAUAGCAGCAUACGCUAAUUUUUGGAGGGGAUUUUCCUUGAGGAGGAC